AAGUCGUAACAAGGUUUCCGUAGGUGAACCUGCGGAAGGAUCAUUAACACGUAUCCAAACGUUAAACCCCCCCGUGAACCUUCAGUGUACUCGUACGUCCAACGAUCGUGACUGCGUCAUCCUUACACAGUUAAUGACACUUUCAGACACUAACUGCUUGGGGAUGCCAGGCCACUUGCUUCGCACAACAUGCACGCUCCUUGCAGACGUCCCUGAAUCGAAAACUGUUCGGCGAUGAUUUACCAGGGAUUGCUGCUUUUUCUAACGGAGGCCCACACGGCCGACGACCGGGUCACUGGGCGCAAGCCCCCCUAUAACAAACGCUGCCAAUCGCGGCCGCGAUAAUACGCAGUCGACAAAAAACCGAACAACUGUUAACAAUGGAUAUCUUGGUUCUC
rnacentral:misc_RNA from 1 species